GUUUCUGUAGUGUAGUGGUUAUCACGUUAGCCUAACACGUGAAAGGUCCCAGGUUAGAAACCGGUCAGAAACA